rnacentral:misc_RNA from 1 species
CAGCACCAAGCCUUCUCACACCCCGGCUGACAUCAGUAAAUUCCUUGAACAAUUCCAUAUUGGUUGCCCAUGGAUCAUCAUGCUCAUAUCCAAAUCCAGUCACUAGAAGAGAUUGUUCCACCUUGUCAGUUCGACUGACAUGAAUCUUUUCACCAUUAGCAAAGGCUCCUUUGCCUGCAGCUGCAGAAAAUAUUCGAGUAUUCCAACACAUAGGGCCACCAACAAACUCAACCACAGCAGCUGCAGCUGGCUUCCCUCUAAAAAGAACACCCACAGAGACUGCAAAGCUGGGAUAGCCAUGCGCAAAGUUUGUUGUUCCAUCUAAAGGAUCAAUGCACCAAAGAUAAUCAGAUGACGAGUCCCCAAUAAUUCCUCCUUCCUCCCCGAGAAUUAGAUGAUCUGGAAAAUUCUUCCUCACGACUUCAAGGAUAGCAAAUUCACUAUUUUUAUCUGUGUCGGUCACUAGGUCAGUGAGCCCUUUAUAGGUAACAUUUCGGGGCUUAUUCACAGCAUCCAUUACAACCUGAGCACCAGUCUUAGCUGCAGCUUCAACCACUUUGAGUAGCUCACUGGAGGGGAUACUUCCGGUUGAAUCAGCAGCAACCUUUGAGUACUCUUUCUUGAUACCCACCUCCGAUAAAGCAGCCUUGGUGCAAAAUCCCCCGCCAGUGGACAAACUUGUACAAAACCCAUAUUGUGAAUUGGUGCUACAACUCUUGGGAAAUACAGGAAGACGAAUUCUGGGUAACUGACAAAUUCUCAAAGAAGAAAUUGUGGAUG